CGCACGCGGGUCGCGUGGCCGGGGCCGAUAGGCCACGGUCGCUCCGGUGUCUGGUUUCACAGCCAGGCGAACUGCCCGCGGAGGAUUAACCGGAAAAUGACAGGACACUU
rnacentral:sRNA from 1 species